rnacentral:rRNA from 1 species
GACGAAGGGGGCUAGCGUUGUUCGGAAUUACUGGGCAUAAAGAGCGCGUAGGCGGUUUGAUAAGUUGGGAGUGAAAGCCCGGGGCUUAACCUCGGAAUUGCUUUCAAAACUGUCAAGCUAGAGUGUAGUAGGGGAUGAUGGAAUUCCUAGUGUAGAGGUGAAAUUCUUAGAUAUUAGGAGGAACACCGGUGGCGAAGGCGGUCAUCUGGGCUACAACUGACGCUGAGGCGCGAAAGCGUGGGGAGCAAACAGG